GACGAACUUUGGCGGCGUGCUUAACACAUGCAAGUCGAACGGAAAGGCCCUGCUUUUGUGGGGUGCUCGAGUGGCGAACGGGUGAGUAACACGUGAGUAACCUGCCCUUGACUUUGGGAUAACUUCAGGAAACUGGGGCUAAUACCGGAUAGGAGCUCCUGCUGCAUGGUGGGGGUUGGAAAGUUUCGGCGGUUGGGGAUGGACUCGCGGCUUAUCAGCUUGUUGGUGGGGUAGUGGCUUACCAAGGCUUUGACGGGUAGCCGGCCUGAGAGGGUGACCGGCCACAUUGGGACUGAGAUACGGCCCAGACUCCUACGGGAGGCAGCAGUGGGGAAUAUUGCACAAUGGGCGGAAGCCUGAUGCAGCAACGCCGCGUGCGGGAUGACGGCCUUCGGGUUGUAAACCGCUUUCGCCUGUGACGAAGCGUGAGUGACGGUAAUGGGUAAAGAAGCACCGGCUAACUACGUGCCAGCAGCCGCGGUGAUACGUAGGGUGCGAGCGUUGUCCGGAUUUAUUGGGCGUAAAGGGCUCGUAGGUGGUUGAUCGCGUCGGAAGUGUAAUCUUGGGGCUUAACCCUGAGCGUGCUUUCGAUACGGGUUGACUUGAGGAAGGUAGGGGAGAAUGGAAUUCCUGGUGGAGCGGUGGAAUGCGCAGAUAUCAGGAGGAACACCAGUGGCGAAGGCGGUUCUCUGGCCUUUCCUGACGCUGAGGAGCGAAAGCGUGGGGAGCGAACAGGCUUAGAUACCCUGGUAGUCCACGCUGUAAACGGUGGGUACUAGGUGUGGGGUCCAUUCCACGGGUUCCGUGCCGUAGCUAACGCUUUAAGUACCCCGCCUGGGGAGUACGGCCGCAAGGCUAAAACUCAAAGGAAUUGACGGGGCCCCGCACAAGCGGCGGAGCAUGCGGAUUAAUUCGAUGCAACGCGUAGAACCUUACCUGGGUUUGACAUGGAUCGGGAGUGCUCAGAGAUGGGUGUGCCUCUUUUGGGGUCGGUUCACAGGUGGUGCAUGGCUGUCGUCAGCUCGUGUCGUGAGAUGUUGGGUUAAGUCCCGCAACGAGCGCAACCCUUGUUCACUGUUGCCAGCACGUUAUGGUGGGGACUCAGUGGAGACCGCCGGGGUCAACUCGGAGGAAGGUGGGGAUGACGUCAAGUCAUCAUGCCCCUUAUGUCCAGGGCUUCACGCAUGCUACAAUGGCUGGUACAGAGAGUGGCGAGCCUGUGAGGGUGAGCGAAUCUCGGAAAGCCGGUCUCAGUUCGGAUUGGGGUCUGCAACUCGACCUCAUGAAGUCGGAGUCGCUAGUAAUCGCAGAUCAGCAACGCUGCGGUGAAUACGUUCCCGGGGCU
rnacentral:rRNA from 1 species